rnacentral:rRNA from 1 species
AACGAACGCUGGCGGCAUGCCUGACACAUGCAAGUCGAACGAGACCUUCGGGUCUAGUGGCGCACGGGUGCGUAACGCGUGGGAAUCUGCCCUUGGGUUCGGAAUAACAGUUAGAAAUGACUGCUAAUACCGGAUGAUGACUUCGGUCCAAAGAUUUAUCGCCCAGGGAUGAGCCCGCGUAGGAUUAGCUUGUUGGUGAGGUAAAAGCUCACCAAGGCGACGAUCCUUAGCUGGUCUGAGAGGAUGAUCAGCCACACUGGGACUGAGACACGGCCCAGACUCCUACGGGAGGCAGCAGUGGGGAAUAUUGGACAAUGGGCGAAAGCCUGAUCCAGCAAUGCCGCGUGAGUGAUGAAGGCCUUAGGGUUGUAAAGCUCUUUUACCCGGGAUGAUAAUGACAGUACCGGGAGAAUAAGCCCCGGCUAACUCCGUGCCAGCAGCCGCGGUAAAAC